ensembl:snRNA U1 U1 spliceosomal RNA
CUACUUACCGGGCAGGGGAGACACCAUGAUCAGGCAGGUGGUUUUCCCAGGGCGAGGCUCACUCGGUGCACCGCGGGUGUGCUGACCCUGCGAUUUCCCCAAAUGCGGGAAACUCGACUGCAUACUUUGUGGUAGUGGGUGACUGCGUUCGCACUCUCCCC